rnacentral:rRNA from 1 species
GAUGAACGCUGGCGGCGUGCCUAAUACAUGCAAGUCGAGCGAACAGACGAGGAGCUUGCUCCUCUGACGUUAGCGGCGGACGGGUGAGUAACACGUGGAUAACCUACCUAUAAGACUGGGAUAACUUCGGGAAACCGGAGCUCAUACCGGAUAAUAUAUUGAACCGCAUGGUUCAAUAGUGAAAGACGGUUUUGCUGUCACUUAUAGAUGGAUCCGCGCCGCAUUAGCUAGUUGGUAAGGUAACGGCUUACCAAGGCAACGAUGCGUAGCCGACCUGAGAGGGUGAUCGGCCACACUGGAACUGAGACACGGUCCAGACUCCUACGGGAGGCAGCAGUAGGGAAUCUUCCGCAAUGGGCGAAAGCCUGACGGAGCAACGCCGCGUGAGUGAUGAAGGUCUUCGGAUCGUAAAACUCUGUUAUUAGGGAAGAACAAAUGUGUAAGUAACUAUGCACGUCUUGACGGUACCUAAUCAGAAAGCAACGGCUAACUACGUG